rnacentral:rRNA from 1 species
GACCAGACUCCUACGGGAGGCAGCAGUGGGGGAUAUUGCACAAUGGGGGAAACCCUGAUGCAGCGACGCCGCGUGAGUGAAGAAGUAUUUCGUUACGUAAAGCUCUAUCAGCAGGGAAGAAAAUGACGGUACCUGAGUAAGAAGCCCCGGCUAACUACGUGCCAGCAGCCGCGGUAAUACGUAGGGGGCAAGCGUUAUCCGGAUUUACUGGGUGUAAAGGGAGCGUAGACGGCAGUGCAAGUCUGGAGUGAAAGGCGGGGGCUCAACCCCCGGACUGCUCUGGAAACUGUACGGCUGGAGUGCAGGAGAGGUAAGUGGAAUUCCUAGUGUAGCGGUGAAAUGCGUAGAUAUUAGGAGGAACACCGGUGGCGAAGGCGGCCUGCUGGACUGCAACUGACGUUGAGGCCCGAAAGCGUGGGGAGCAAACAGGAUUAGAUACCCUUGUA